rnacentral:rRNA from 1 species
GACGAACGCUGGCGGCGUGCCUAAUACAUGCAAGUAGAACGCUGAAGGAGGAGCUUGCUUCUCUGGAUGAGUUGCGAACGGGUGAGUAACGCGUAGGUAACCUGCCUGGUAGCGGGGGAUAACUAUUGGAAACGAUAGCUAAUACCGCAUAAGAGUAGAUGUUGCAUGACAUUUGCUUAAAAGGUGCAAUUGCAUCACUACCAGAUGGACCUGCGUUGUAUUAGCUAGUUGGUGGGGUAACGGCUCACCAAGGCGACGAUACAUAGCCGACCUGAGAGGGUGAUCGGCCACACUGGGACUGAGACACGGCCCAGACUCCUACGGGAGGCAGCAGUAGGGAAUCUUCGGCAAGGGACGGAAGUCUGAACGAGCAACGCAGCGUGAGUGAAGAAGGGUAUCGGAUCGGAAAGAUCUGUUGUAAGAGAAGAACGAGUGUGAGAGUGGAAAGUUCACACUGUGACGGUAUCUUACCAGAAAGGGACGGCUAACUACGUG